GGCUAUAUGAUUGUCACCUGCUAAAAUUGGAACGAUACUGAGAAUAUUAGCAUGGCCCCAGCACAAGAUUGACACGCUUAAUUUGAGAAAUGGUCCAAUUUUUU
rfam:Arabis alpina cultivar Pajares chromosome 6, whole genome shotgun sequence.